AUAACUCGAUUGAUAAGGAUCGAUCUCAGUGAAGUUGAUUUAGUAAUUCAAAAGCUUGUGAAAACCAAAAACCCUCUAAAAUGGUUAAAUUGGGACUGUUGUUCAUCGUCCUCUUCUGCAUCAUUCAGUUCACCUUCGCAGCACGCCUGCGACGUUAUGAUCUCCAAGAGUCCUUUUAUAGCAUGAGAGAGCGAUCAGACAACACCGCCACCAAAGAAAAUGUUGACUAUCGACAGCAGCUAAAAGAGAUUAGAGAUCUCAUACAGACCGAGCUUGAGAAAAAGUAUCCGAAGGAAUAAGAUAACCGGUGCCAAAACCUUCCUGAGCGUUAAUUCGCUGACAGAGAAAGGGUAUCAGUGAAACCGCUAUAUUGUUUACUAAAGUAGAUAAUAUUUUUUUUUUGCUGGGAUUUUAAUCCUUUCGGAUGAUUUAUCCUAAUUUAUCCGGUUGCAUAGUCUAUAAUAAACUGAUUAGAAAAAGGGAAACAGUGUCUGGUUUA